rnacentral:rRNA from 1 species
CCUACGGGUGGCUGCAGUGGGGAAUAUUGGGCAAUGGGCGCAAGCCUGACCCAGCAACGCCGCGUGAAGGAAGAAUGCUUUCUGGUUGUAAACUUCUUUUUACAGGGAAGAGCUGAAGACGGUACCUGUCGAGUAAGCCACGGCUAACUACUUGCCAUCAGCCGCGGUAAUACGUAGGUGGCCGGCGUUGUCCGGAUUUACUGGGUUUAAAGGGCGUGUAGCCGGGCUUACAAGUCAGAUGUGAAAUCCGGGGGCGUAACCCCCGCAAUGCAUUUGAAACUGUUGGUCUUGAGUAUCGGAGAGGCAGGCGGAAUUACUAGUGUAGCGGUGAAAUGCGUAGAUAUUAGGAGGAACACCAGUGGCGAAGGCGGCCUGCUGGACGAAAACUGACGGUGAGGCGCGAAAGCGUGGGGAGCAAACAGGAUUAGAUACCCGUGUAGUC